UACGUAGGGGGCAAGCGUUGUCCGGAUUUAUUGGGCGUAAAGAGCGUGUAGGCGGUUUGGUAGGUCCGCUGUGAAAACUCGAGCUCAACCUCGAGACGCCGGUGGAAACCAUCAGACUAGAGUCCGGAAGAGGAGAGUGGAAUUCCUGGUGUAGCGGUGAAAUGACGCAGAUAUCAGGAAGAACACCCGUGGCUAAGGCGGCUCUCUGGGACGGUACUGACGCUGAGACGCGAAAGCGUGGGGAGCGAACAGG
rnacentral:rRNA from 1 species